rnacentral:rRNA from 1 species
GGAUANCCUGCCCUUGGGUCCCGGCAUAACCCCCGGGNAAANUGGGGAUAANACCGGNAUAAACGCACAUAUGNUGGAAUGCUUUAUGCGUAAAAUGGAUUCGUCUGCCCAAGGAUGGGUCUGCGGCCUAUCAAGUAGUAGUGGGUGUAAUGUACCUACUAGCCGACAACGGGUACGGGUUGUGAGAGCAAGAGCCCGGAGAUGGAUUCUGAGACAUGAAUCCAGGCCCUACGGGGCGCAGCAGGCGCGAAAACUUUACAAUGCGGGAAACCGUGAUAAGGGGACACCGAGUGCCAGCAUCAUAUGCUGGCUGUCCGGGUGUGUAAAAUACACCCGUUAGCAAGGGCCGGGCAAGACCGGUGCCAGCCGCCGCGGUAACACCGGCGGCCCGAGUGGUGAUCGUGAUUAUUGGGUCUAAAGGGUCCGUAGCCGGUUUGGUCAGUCCUCCGGGAAAUCUGAUAGCUCAACUAUUAGGCUUUCGGGGGAUACUGCCAGACUUGGAACCGGGAGAGGUAAGAGGUACUACAGGGGUAGGAGUGAAAUCUUGUAAUCCCUGUGGGACCACCUGUGGCGAAGGCGUCUUACCAGAACGGGUUCGACGGUGAGGGACGAAAGCUGGGGGCACGAACCGGAUUAGAUACCCGGGUAGUCCCAGCCGUAAACGAUGCUCGCUAGGUGUCAGGCAUGGCGCGACCGUGUCUGGUGCCGCAGGGAAGCCGUGAAGCGAGCCACCUGGGAAGUACGGCCGCAAGGCUGAAACUUAA